rnacentral:rRNA from 1 species
AGUGAACGCUGGCGGUAGGCCUAACACAUGCAAGUCGAACGGCAGCACAGUAAUAGCUUGCUCUUACGGGUGGCGAGUGGCGGACGGGUGAGGAAUACAUCGGAAUCUACUUUUUCGUGGGGGAUAACGUAGGGAAACUUACGCUAAUACCGCAUACGACCUACGGGUGAAAGCAGGGGAUCUUCGGACCUUGCGCGAUUGAAUGCGCCGAUGUCGGAUUAGCUAGUUGGCGGGGUAAAGGCCCACCAAGGCGACGAUCCGUAGCUGGUCUGAGAGGAUGAUCGGCCACACUGGAACUGAGACACGGUCCAGACUCCUACGGGAGGCAGCAGUGGGGAAUAUUGGACAAUGGGCGCAAGCCUGAUCCAGCCAUACCGCGUGGGUGAAGAAGGCCUUCGGGUUGUAAAGCCCUUUUGUUGGGAAAGAAAAGCAGCAGGUUAAUACCCCGCUGUUCUGACGGUACCCAAAGAAUAAGCACCGGCUAACUUCGUG